rnacentral:pre_miRNA from 14 species
UUCUCUGUGUAGACCUGAAAGACCCCCGAAGCGGGGAGACCCUCACUCAAGUCUCAGGAUGACGUGACCCCCCAAGAACUCACAUAAGACC